CGAGAGAGUAGAAGCGUUCACCGUCGCACCGCAGGCGCCGCCAUCGGCACGCCGCCGGGAAGGUCGGCCGGAAAUUGCUCUCGGA
rnacentral:ncRNA from 1 species